UACGUAGGGUGCAAGCAUUAAUCGGAAUUAUUGGGCGUAUAGGGCGCGUAGGCGGACUUUUUAGUCGGAUGUGAAAUCCCAGGGCUCAACCCUGGAACUGCAUCCGAAACUGGAAGACUAGAGGGUAGGCGGAGAAAACGGAAUUCCACAAGUAGCGGUGAUAUGCGUAGAUAUGUGGAAGAACACCGGUGGCGAAAGCGGUUUUCUAGCUUAAACCUGACGCUGAGGCGCGAAAGCAAGGGGAUCAAACAGG
rnacentral:rRNA from 1 species